rnacentral:rRNA from 1 species
GACGAACGCUGGCGGCGUGCUUAACACAUGCAAGUCGAACGGAAAGGCCCUGCUUUUGUGGGGUGCUCGAGUGGCGAACGGGUGAGUAACACGUGAGUAACCUGCCCUUGACCUUGGGAUAACUUCAGGAAACUGGGGCUAAUACCGGAUAGGAGCUCCUGCUGCAUGGUGGGGGUUGGAAAGUUUCGGCGGUUGGGGAUGGACUCGCGGCUUAUCAGCUUGUUGGUGGGGUAGUGGCUUACCAAGGCUUUGACGGGUAGCCGGCCUGAGAGGGUGACCGGCCACAUUGGGACUGAGAUACGGCCCAGACUCCUACGGGAGGCAGCAGUGGGGAAUACUGCACAAUGGGCGGAAGCCUGAUGCAGCAACGCCGCGUGCGGGAUGACGGCCUUCGGGUUGUAAACCGCUUUCGCCUGUGACGAAGCGUGAGUGACGGUAAUGGGUAAAGAAGCACCGGCUAACUACGUG